UCAAUGGUAAAGAACUAACCUGCGUCGUUUGCACAAAAUAGUUCAACUGGCUGAAGAAUAUUAGAUCUCUACCUAAAAUUUGAGGGCAAUACUGUUCAUCCUUAUAACCGCAUAUUUAGACCCAAACUUAGGCAUGUAAUCGCAAAAGUUUAUUAAUAAAAUUUUGUUGGGUUUGAUCAAAAACACGAUCUUCAGAUGUAAAUAUUUAUUUUACACCUGACUUAACACGCAAACGAC